AAAAUGGCGUGCUUUUAACACAUGCAAGUCGAACGCGCGGAUCAGGAGCUUGCUCCUGUGACGCGAGUGGCGGACGGGUGAGUAACACGUAGGCAACCUGCCCAUCAGACCGGGAUAACCACGGGAAACCGUGGCUAAUACCGGAUAAUCCUUUUCCACACAGGUGGGAAAGUUGAAAGGCGGUCUUUUGGCUGUCACUGAUGGAUGGGCCUGCGGCGCAUUAGCUGGUUGGUGGGGUAACGGCCCACCAAGGCGACGAUGCGUAGCCGACCUGAGAGGGUGAUCGGCCACACUGGGACUGAGACACGGCCCAGACUCCUACGGGAGGCAGCAGUAGGGAAUCUUCCGCAAUGGACGAAAGUCUGACGGAGCAACGCCGCGUGAGUGAAGAAGGGUUUCGGCUCGUAAAACUCUGUUGUCAGGGAAGAACGCCGACGGGAGAACGCCCUCGGUGAUCUAUCCAUUCAG
rnacentral:rRNA from 1 species